GAUGAACGCUGGCGGCGUGCUUAACACAUGCAAGUCGAGCGAGUGAGUUCUUCGGAACGAUCUAGCGGCGGACGGGUGAGUAACACGUGGGCAACCUGCCUCAUAGAGGGGAAUAGCCUCCCGAAAGGGAGAUUAAUACCGCAUAAAAUUAUCGAGUGGCAUCACAUGAUAAUCAAAGGAGUAAUCCGCUAUGAGAUGGGCCCGCGGCGCAUUAGCUAGUUGGUGAGGUAACGGCUCACCAAGGCGACUAUGCGUAGCCGACCUGAGAGGGUGAUCGGCCACAGUGGGACUGAGACCCGGCCCCGACUCCUACGGGAGGCAGCAGUGGGGAAUAUUGCACAAUGGGGGAAACCCUGAUGCAGCAACGCCGCGUGAGUGAUGAAGGUCUUCGGAUUGUAAAGCUCUGUCUUUGGGGACGAUAAUGACGGUACCCAAGGAGGAAGCCACGGCUAACUACGUGCCAGCCGCCGCCGUAA
rnacentral:rRNA from 1 species